UACCCCCGUAACUUCGGGAGAAGGGGGGCCACAGACUGUCAUACCCCACGCGGGUGGCAGCAGUAGGUGGCCGCAGAGACCAGGGGGAAGCGACUGUUUACUAAAAACACAGGUCCGUGCGAAGUCGUAAGACGAUGUAUACGGACUGACGCCUGCCCGGUGCUGGAACGUUAAGGGGACCGGUUAGUCCGCAAGGGCGAAGCUGAGAACUUAAGCGCCAGUAAACGGCGGUGGUAACUAUAACCAUCCUAAGGUAGCGAAAUUCCUUGUCGGGUAAGUUCCGACCUGCACGAAUGGCGUAACGACUUCCCUACUGUCUCAACCACAGGCCCGGCGAAAUUGCACUACGAGUAAAGAUGCUCGUUACGCGCGGAAGGACGGAAAGACCCCGGGACCUUCACUAUAGCUUGACAUUGGUAUCCGAAUUUAAUUGUGUAGGAUAGGUGGGAGGCUUUGAUCCGCGGACGCCAGUCCGUCGGGGAGCCAACGUUGAAAUACCACUCUGUUGAAUUUGGGUAUCUAACUUCGGACCGUGAUCCGGUUCAGGGACAGUGUCUGGUGGGUAGUUUAACUGGGGCGGUUGCCUCCUAAAAUGUAACGGAGGCGCCCAAAGGUUCCCUCAGCCUGGUUGGCAAUCAGGUGUUGAGUGCAAGUGCACAAGGGAGCUUGACUGUGAGACUGACAGGUCGAGCAGGGACGAAAGUCGGGACUAGUGAUCCGGCACCUGCGAGUGGAAGCGGUGUCGCUCAACGGAUAAAAGGUACCCCGGGGAUAACAGGCUGAUCUUCCCCAAGAGUCCAUAUCGACGGGAUGGUUUGGCACCUCGAUGUCGGCUCGUCGCAUCCUGGGGCUGGAGUAGGUCCCAAGGGUUGGGCUGUUCGCCCAUUAAAGCGGCACGCGAGCUGGGUUUAGAACGUCGUGAGACAGUUCGGUCCCUAUCCUCCGCGCGCGUAGGAGACUUGAGAAGAGCUGUCCCUAGUACGAGAGGACCGGGACGGACGAACCUCUGGUGUGCCAGUUGUCAUGCCAAUGGCACGGCUGGUUAGCUACGUUCGGAAGGGAUAACCGCUGAAAGCAUCUAAGCGGGAAGCUCGCUUCAAGAUGAGGUCUCCCACCCCUUGAGGGUUAAGGCCCCCAGCUAGACCACUGGGUUGAUAGGCCAGAAGUGUAAGCCUGGUAACAGGUUCAGCCGACUGGUACUAAUAGGCCGAGGACUCCAA
rnacentral:rRNA from 1 species